GGGCCCGCACAAGCGGAGGAACAUGUGGUUUAAUUCGAUGAUACGCGAGGAACCUUACCCGGGCUCGAACGGCAGGGGAAUCACUCAGAGAUGGGUGAGUCUUCGGACUCCUGUCGAGGUGCUGCAUGGUUGUCGUCAGCUCGUGCUGUGAAGUGUCGGCUUAAGUGCCAUAACGAGCGCAACCCUUGCCGUCAGUUGCCAUCAGGUAAUGCUGGGGACUCUGGCGGGACUGCCACCGCAAGGUGUGAGGAAGGGGGGGAUGACGUCAAAUCAGCACGGCCCUUACGUCCGGGGCGACACACGUGUUACAAUGGUGGGUACAGAGGGAUGCUACCUGGCGACAGGAUGCUGAUCUCGAAAACCCAUCCCAGUUCGGAUUGGAGUCUGCAACCCGACUCCAUGAAGUUGGAUUCGCUAGUAAUCGCGCAUCAGCCAUGGCGCGGUGAAUACGUUCCCGGGCCUU
rnacentral:rRNA from 1 species